rnacentral:rRNA from 1 species
CCUCCUAUACCUACCUUUAGACUCUCCCGUUGAAGAAAGAGAAAAAAAGCGUUUUCCCUUUCUUAGGUUUGACGUGCUCCUUGUUUGACCCAUACAGGCGAGUGACUGGCCACCCGGAGCAGCCAGUCAUCGAGGCAGCAGUUCAGAACAUGAGAACAAUCGAGCUCUAGGUCUGAGCUCUCGCGCUCGCUCAGAAAAGAAAGGUAGGCGUCCUCUAGGGCUGCUCUUCCGCUUCCGCUUCGUCCGCCGCGUUGGCUUCGAGGAGUACCGGGCGAGCAGGAGCGUCAGGGUCAGGAGGCAGCCGCCACGGCCGCGGCGGCCUAGGGCGGGUCGGUGGCGGCCCGGGGCGCCGUGCGGGCGGCGGUGCCGGCCGUACGCGGCGGCUGGGCCGGCGUGGAGGAGGAGGCGCAGGCCACCGCCUCCGAAGAGGCCGCCGCCUCCCUUGUUGUACGACGCGAAGAUGUGGCUGCUCCGGGGCCCCGACGCGGAGAGGGGCUGGUACCACGAGCAGUACAGGCAGACGAAGUAGCCGAAGCAGUGGCGGGAGGUGCAGAAGCCGUUCGAGAUGGCGAGGGCGUGGCGGCGGAGGCGCAGGCGGACUAGUUGGGCCAAGGACAAAGAAGGAGCAGAGUCUAGUCUAGUCUACCAAAACCACACAUUGUUUCUCCAACACCAACGAUGGACUGCUCAAUCUAGACGGCUUCAUGGGAUGUACAAAUUAAUACCACGGGAAACACAAAGGUAAAUGGAACAACAACGCUACUUAACACCGAUUAGUGAACACGGACAGUUAACUUUAGUAGUCUUCACACAUGAAGAACCCCUAACCCCGUGUCAAAACGGACAGACUCUUGAUCAUCUGGUUAAUACGUAGAGCGAUCGAAGUAUGCAACGAAUUAAUUCAUGGAUGAUACGUCAAGAGAAAACCAACAGUAGUUAAAAAUAAUCUCUUGACCUACAAAGACAGCCCAUUAAUCCGUGGAUGAUAAGCGAAGACACAGUGACACUAUUAUGAUCAUCGAUUAGAA